GACGUAGGGCGCGAGCGUUGUCCGGAUUUAUUGGGCGUAAAGCGUUCGUAGGCGGCUUGUCGCGUCGUCUGUGAAAUCCCGCGGCUCAACCGCGGGUCUGCAGUCGAUACGGGCAGGCUAGAGUUCGGUAGGGGAGACUGGAAUUCCUGGUGUAGCGGUGAAAUGCGCAGAUAUCAGGAGGAACACCGGUGGCGAAGGCGGGUCUCUGGGCCGAUACUGACGCUGAGGAGCGAAAGCGUGGGGAGCGAACAGG
rnacentral:rRNA from 1 species